GCGGCCCCGCCGAUGGGUUGUGAGAACGGGCCGACCGCGCGGGGGUGGCGCCGCUGGUGGAGCGCCGGCCGCCUAGACGCAGUCACCAUCGCCGGUAGCGCUCCCCACCUCCAUCGCCGCGGGGGCUGUAUUCCUCGGCGCAGGGAAGAUGAUGGCCGGCGCUAGAGUUUGGGCUCGGCCACUGGAGCAGGGAGAGGCAAAUGGAAACAUCUCGCCAUGGACGAGGAGGCGGAGCGCCGUCAACGAUCCUAGACUCCGGUUACCAACAGCAUGACGGCCUGCUGCCCUGGCCUCUUCUUCGAUCUGCAGGUUUGGCAAGGAGGAUGUCGUUGGGGUCGUUUUUCCAAGAAGUGGAGUUCCCUUCCUCGCUCCACAUAUUUGGAUUUUGUUCCAGAACUGCUACAUUAAGAUUUGGGGUCACUGAAAUGUUUACUGGUGGUUUAUUUUUGACAUUGGGAGCCUUCUAUGUACAGGUUUAUCUGAACAAGGACUGGUACUCUCUAGAAGAUGUAUGUAAUGCUUAUGCUUGGUUUCCUACUAAAUAAUUUAUGAUUGGCCGUGAUGGAUCCUGAAUUCACCAUUGAUUGGUGCAUCCCACGUGGAAUAUAGUCAUGCUUUCUUGGGAUCUGUAGUUCUUGUGCCAGCACAGCGGCUUCAUUUCGUCCCUGCUGUCAUUGAUGAUGCAUGACGAGUGACAUAGGCGCUGGAGGAGGUGGCCGAAGACGGGAGCAGUGCAUCCCGCUGUCGCGAGUAGCGGCUGGUUGGAGCUCCGCCCGCCCCGCUUUCUACCGAAUUAACGUUAGCAGUUCAAGCCACCACUGUCACCUCUGCUCUGCCGGCCAGCUCCAGGAGGAGGGACGGGUGGCCAUCGUGAUCCCAGGGGAGCUCGAUGUCAUGCCCGGCGGCCGAGCGGCAAGGAAAAACUGCAUCUGCUGAUAAUGGUGGUGCUACCUUGAGGAUUCAGAGGUGGAGAAAACAAAAAGAGAUGGUGUAUAGCAGGAUGUUGAGGACAACAUUUUGCGGCGCCUGGUCUAAGGUUUUAGGAUAGGAAGGUCAAACGCACUUGCCUUUCUACUGCAGACCUAGGUCAAAGCACAUUCUCAGGCCUGAACAACCAAGGGUUUCGUACUUCGAGUCCAUGCCUACCGGUUCGGCCAGCGUCAUGCCUUGGGUCAGGAUCCCUCUUGCAUAACAAAAUGUGUACCUACAUACUUGCACACUUCUCCGGCACUGCCAUGUGUUGUUAAACCCCCUGCACCUAGAUUUAAGCAAUGUUACUGGUUCAUCUGUCAAGAAAUCCUUGUUCCAGGACUCGCCUCCUCGUGUUCAGGCUGAAGCUGUGCUAGCCAACUCAGGUUGUGUCGGACCAGGACCACGUGGUGCUCUUCUGUGUGGUAAUGAUUUGACACAUCAUUAACAGCCUUUGCAGUUGUAGAGACAUCUUCAAGACCAAUGAUUAAAAAUAGCGAUGCAACACCAUCUACCCAAGUUUUCUUGUCACUGACACUCAGCCCAAGAAGCAACUCAGUUGCACCAUAUUUUGAAGGCCGAGAGCUCCGCUGAAUUUCAGAACCAUCAGGAAUGAAGGGAGGUUCAUUGCUAUGAUUUUGCUCUAUUGUUAUUUAAAAUGUUAUCUGUUAUUUUUCAAGUAAAUAAUUAGUAUCUGAUAUGCUAAUUAGUAUCUGAUAUGCUAUUAGUGCUGAGAAUAUUCAAGGAAAUACCUUUUUUAGCAUCUUUCUCUAGGAUAAUUAGUAUUACAUGGCAUAGGUCAUAAAAGGAAAUGACAUAAGUUAUUUUUCUUUCUGGGGUCAAUUUUUAACUGACUAAGCUAUUCUAUGUUGUUAUUUUCUUAUACAUAAGUCUCACGUCUGUCAUGAAAAACACAAACUUUUUGUGAUAGUAAAAAUGAGAUUGCAGGCUUGAAUUUUGCUGGUACCACGAUAUUAUGUGAUUUACUAUGGGCAUCUGGGUACCUGCUCUCAUACUAACCCGUAUGACCUUCUUGUAUGUUUUGUAGAGUCGUAUGAUUUAGAAUGUUAGUACAUUUUUAAUUGGGGAGUGCUUUUCAAUACUGAUUUUCCAAAGUAUAUACCAUAGAACCUACAAUAUUGGCAGUUAGUAUACAUUCAGAAAGUAUCAUCACAUAGGUUUAUACACUUCCUUUUGCAGAGCUAUGGAAUUUUAAUUGGUUACCUAGACUAAAGGCAGUGAAUCAGUUGCGGCGUCAUUUCAAAUCAUAUCGGAAUGUGACAAAAAUACCUGAGGUGAGAGAGAACUCAAGAACAUCAUGAAAAUCCUCAAAUCUCAUUUGAUUGGAUGUUAUAUAUAUAUGCAUGGACAAUCAUCAUCAUUUGAUUGGAUAUUACAUAUACUAGCAAAGAAAAGCGCGGCGUGCCAAUCGUGGGAUAUGUCUAGCUUUUUAUGUGCUGAUGGUAAUCAUUGGCUCCUGCUUGUGUGUUCAAUUGUGGAUCUUCUCUCUGUUUGGAGAGAUUCUCCAUGGAUUCUUUGUGUUUGCCUGUUGGUUUCCCAAACAGUUCUUACUGUGAAUGCAUGGUUUCCUUCAAUUAGGUAAAUUCAUUUCGUGUUAGUGCAAUGGCUAUUGAUGGUUUUAAGUAAUCCCAAUAGCUAUUGAUGGUUUUAAGAUAAUCUCGGUAUACAAGUUCUACGGUAAUUUAUUAUCUUCUCUUUAUUGUCAAAUUGCUUCUCCGAUUACAAUACUCUAUUGUAUCAAACAUGAGCUAAUCUUCUUCUCUUACCGUUUCUUUGAUUUGGCUCGCCUUUAACUGUUGGUUGAUUAUCUUUUCAUUUGCAGUGGUGCUAAGUUUUGCUGGUGCAAGUACCUGUGAAAUCUACGUUUUUUCUA